GGGGAGGUAGGCGGCGACGGUCACGUGGGAGGGGCGUCCGAAGGUGCCGGCUCGCUCGCGCCUGGCUGGGCCGGGCUCCCGGGGACCCAGGCCUCCCCGGCCUCGCUGCUCCGUCGCCCCCGCGGGUACGGCCCACGCAGCCCGCCCGCCCCGCUGGAGAUCAGAGCCCGGAGACCGGGGCUGAGUGCCCAGCCUGGCAGGUUUUAUCACGUGUCUGACGACUCCGCUGACGGUUCUAGGGAAGCAGAUGAUUGAUGAUUGCUGUGCUUAAAAGAACAGAGCGAUAUUGAGACAUCCUAGGACUGAAAGAAAGGCAAAGGCGAAGACUCAAUGAGUCUUUCCGCACCACCACCCCCGCCCCGUUUGCCUCAGGCUUUCUCAGCUGCUUCUGAAUUGGAAAAAUGGAAAAGAAUUUGGAGGCUGCUAAACCAAAGUGAAGGUCUUACUACCUGUGAAAUUAAAGGAACGCCUCGAUUCUUUUAACUCGAGAUGUUCACAAGAACUUUAUUGUUGCCCUGGCCUCUCCUCUAAGCUGAUGUUCAGAGGGUCUGGGGUGUGUUCCAAGGAUCUCCGAAUUAUUCGGCAAGUUGCUGCCAGGAAUUCUAGGGUUAGGAGGACAAGCAAGAGAAAAGUCUUUUUUUUUUUUUUUUUUUUUUUUUUUUUUUUUUUUUUUUUUUUUUGCCAGGGUUAUACUAAAGGACAAGUUUGGAAAGUUGUUAAUAGCUCAGAUAGUUUUCAUUCUGCUGGACCAGGUGUGGAGAGCGCAGGGAGAGAGAAGCACACUCCCUUUUGUCUAAGCAGAGUGGAACAUACUCUGGGUCAGGAGCACUGUUGUCAACCAGAAGAUUCCCCCAUUUCCCUUCUCGUGUUAGGGGUCACUCAACGGGACAAAUGUUAACUGACUAAAUGCCACAGAGCUCAUUGGCCCAGGCUACUGUACCCAAGCCCUAGUCUUACCCUUCUCUACUCUUCCUCAAUUCCCCAUAUUUUCUCAUUGCUCAGCAAAAUCUCUUUUGUUUUCAUUUUCUGUGCCUCCAACAUUCUUGAUGUAGCUGAAAGCUGCUUAUCCCCCCUUUAUCUCCUUUCUUCCCCUCUGCUCAGUCUAUUCCCGGGAGGUUGCUGUAAUUUAGAUUAAUAAGUUUGGAAAGAAUAAUUGGGCAAGCUUGCUAUGUUUGUCCAUUUUCCUCCAGAAAGGAAACUGCAUGAAGGAAGGUUUAUGGUUUAGUAACUGUUGCCAGGCGGGUAAGAAUUAAGAGGAAGAUUCAAGCAAUAACAUAUUUCACUAUUGUUGCUACCACUAUUGUUAAUUUUCAUUAGCUAACUCAUAAUAUAUGUCACUGUAUUGGAGGAAAAUUAUGUUCAUCACCUUAACAUUUCCAAGAUACACACUUUCCAAAUAUAAACUGAGGGAAUUAGACUAGAUCUCUCAAAACCCAAAUGACUUUAUAUCGAUCAAAAGAUUUUAUUUUGGGAGCUGGGGAUUUGGCUCAGCUGCACAAGGGUCUUCCUGGCAAAUGCAAGAUCAUGAGUCCCAUACCCAGUACCAAAAUAUUUUUUUAAAAAAACAAAAAACAGAUUUUACUUUUUUCUGACAAUUCACAUCUGCUGCCAUUAGAAAAUCCUGUUGGCUCUGCCUGAAAAACAUAACCACAGUGGAGUCACUUCUCAUCAUCUCCCCCGCCCUCCUUCAAGCCAAACUUGUCUAAUCCCAGAAGAAGAAGGCCUACAUCCCUCUUCUCUGUUGGUGUCCCUUCCCAUCUGUCUUACUCAUGCAGCAGACAGAAUGAUCAUUUCAAAAUUAAAUCAGAUCACUUCUCUAUUUAAAAUCUUGCAGGGACACCCUGUCACUCAGAGUGAAAGUUGUCUUUAUAAUGCAAACAAGGCCCUGGAGGAUAAGUCUGUUGCCAUUUCUGACCUCAAUUCAUGCUCCUCUGCUUCUUACUCUGUUCCAACCACAUUGUCCCCCUGGACAGUCCAAGUGUGCUGGCCCCUCAGGACACUUAUUUGCAUUGGCUGUUCCUCCUGCCUUUAGGCUGGGAUGCUCUUCCUGCAGAUGUUGCUCCUUUUCUUUCUUGAAUUUGGUAUUCAAUCUCUCUCUCUCAUUAGGCCUGCUCUGUCAGUCUUACCUAAAUGCAUGCAUCCUCCUUACACACUUUCCCCUUACACUGAUUUUUUUUCAUUAAGAAAUGAAGGUCAUCUAACAUAACUGCGCCAUUUACUGAGCAACUGUGUUUGUGGUUGGGUCUCCUAGAUUUUAACUUCCAUGGGAUCAGAGAUUUUUUUUCUGUCUCCUAUUCUGGACUAUAUCCCAAGUGCCUAGCAUAGAAUUCAACAUAUAUUAUACUCUUAAGAUUGUCAGCUGAUUUACUGAAUGAAAAAACCAUAAGCAGAGUUGCAUUUGAACCACUGGAAAGACUAGAUGAACCCAGCCAACAGCUUUGACCUGAACGGAAUUACCAUCAAGUUCCACCGAUGCACUCUUUAACACACUUGCUAUGCAGCAUAAAGGGAAAGAAUGAUUUUUUUCCCACCACAUACCCACUUAUCAGAGGAAUGUUUUGAAAUAAACGACAUGGAGGAAGAAUUUUAAUUUUCCAGGAGAAAGCAUUGCAUUAAGUUGAGGCUUUUUAUUAUGUGACAGGAUUGUAAGUGACAAGGGUCAAGUACAAAGAUGAGAACAGGGUUGACAGUAUUAUGCCACCCCUACUGCUACACUCGCAUUUUAUAGAAUCCUGGCUUUAAAAGUGGUAUCAGGCAGGAAGAAGACAAAAAAAUUGAUUUUGGAAUUCUUGCCCUAAAUAACAAAUUUUUAAGAAAUACCUUCUUUCUUACAGCUGACUUUCAAAUAUUUACAACACAGUAUGCUCAUUAAUAAAUUAUUCUCCACUUUUCCAUCUUUUCAUCCAUUUUGUGGUCAUCUUCCUGCUAAUUAAAACUUCUGUUCCCUCUUCAGAAGCCUGGCAAAGAAAAAGGAGGAUUAAAAACUAAGAUUUGUCUUUAUGGCAAAUUUAUUCCUGUUUUUUACCCAUUAAGAUGUUUAAAUUCAGAUUUAGAGCACUUCUAAAAUUAUUCAACUUUUAAGUGUUGUAAACUUCUCCAGUAAAUGGCGAAUUAAUUGAGCACAUGGAUAGUGUUUAAGUAUCAAAAAAAUACUUUUUCCUGCCCUUUUGACCAUGAGACAACACCACUAGAGAGUGUUGAAAGUUUAGCCUUGACCUCACUGCCUAAAAUUUAGAAAAUACUGGGCAAGUGAUUUGAUGACACUGAGCCUCUGUUUCCUCAACCCUAAAAGAUAUUCAUAUUACCUCCCUUAUUUUGCUGUGUUGUGAAAAUAUUUUAAUCCAGUGUGUAUCAAUCAGUUUUCCAUCACUAUUAACAAAUACCUGAGAUAAUCAACUUAGAAAAUUUUGAAAUUCUCAAGAAUUUUUUCAAAGCAUGGUAGUUUGACCUUAAGUAUCCCAUAAGCCCAUGUGUAUAAAAACAAUGGGUCUGCCCAAUCAUGAACUAAAAUCUCCCAAAUCUGUGACCCAUUGCAAGGUCUGGGAAGGAGCAGAAGCAAGAGGUGGGGCCUAGUGGGAAAUACGCUGGUCCUCAGGGUCGUGCCCUGGAAGAGUGGAACCCAGCCCCUUCCUCCUUUUUGCAUUCUGCCAAGUGGAGAACAGUUUUGCUAUGCCAUGGUGUGCAUCUGUCUGUCCCCUUUCCAGUUCUUAAGUGUAGAGUUUUGAAUACUUCAAAUGCGGUAGCCAUGAGGGUCCAUCCGACAACCACUUUUGAUGUUUGAUGAUCCUGUUUCAUCUGUUGAUACAGUCCCCAGAUUGACAAAUGAAGGUCAUAUUAAGGCAUUGUAUUGUUCAGCAAAGCAAUUCACGGGGUUCUUCCAUGUUCACUUUGCAAAUAUGAUGGUAAAAUAAACAUUUGAGUAACAGUUUAUUGGACUCAAGCUGGUAACGCUAACAUAAAGAAUGCUGGUAAAGACACCCUGAAAAUGAGGACCUCAUGUGGAAGAUUCAGAGUUUUACUCUCAGAAUUUUCCUAUUCUAACUGAGCCUGAAAACAGGGACUCAGGAACUAAAGGGAGUAACCAACCUCAUCAAAUUUAUAAAUGGCACAAAACUAUGAGACAUAGCUAAUGCAUUGGAUAAUGGCAUGGGUACCCAUGGAGAUCUGGGAUUAACAAGUAAAAUGAAAUUCAGCUGGAUACAUGUUAAGUCUCCAAUUAAAUGGAUGUAACUGUCACAGUGUUGGCCUCUUCACAAUUCACAUGUUGAAGUCCUAACCCCCAAAGUAAUGAUACAAGGAGAUGAGGCUUUGGGGACAUGAUUGAUCACAGGUGAGGAGACCUUGUGAAUGGAAUUAAUUUCUUUGUAAAAGAAGCCUAAGGGAUCUUUUUCAGCCCUUUUGCAAUAUGAAGUUACAGUGAGAACACUGUCAUCACAAGGCAACAAGCCCUCGCCAGACUCUGAAUCUGCUAGCACCUUUAUUUGGGACUUCCCAGUUCUCACAAGGCGAUAAAUAAAUGUCUGGUUUUUAUAGACUA